UUUAGCAUAAACAGUGAAACUGCGAAUGGCUCAUUAAAUCAGUCAUAGUUUAUUUGAUGGUACCUUACUACAUGGAUAACUGUGGUAAUUCUAGAGCUAAUACAUGCUGAAAAAUCCCGACUUCUGGAAGGGAUGUAUUUAUUAGAUCCAAAACCAAUGGCCUUCGGGUCCCUAUGGUGAAUCAUGAUAACUGCUCGAAUCGCAUGGCCUUGCGCCGGCGAUGCUUCAUUCAAAUAUCUGCCCUAUCAACUUUCGAUGGUAGGAUAGAGGCCUACCAUGGUGAUGACGGGUAACGGGGAAUAAGGGUUCGAUUCCGGAGAGAGGGCCUGAGAAACGGCCCUCAGGUCUAAGGACACGCAGCAGGCGCGCAAAUUAUCCCCUGGCAACACUUUGCCGAGAUAGUGACAAUAAAUAACAAUGCAGGGCUCUUACGGGUCUUGCAAUUGGAAUGAGUACAAUUUAAAUCCCUUAACGAGGAUCAAUUGGAGGGCAAGUCUGGUGCCAGCAGCCGCGGUAAUUCCAGCUCCAAUAGCGUAUAUUAAAAUUGUUGCCGUUAAAAAGCUCGUAGUCGAACUUCGGGCUCUGUCAGCCGGUCCGCCUUCUUGGUGUGUACUUGUUUGACGGAGCCUUACCUCCUGGUGAACGGCGAUGUCCUUUACUGGGUGUCGUCGCAAACCAGGACUUUUACUUUGAAAAAAUUAGAGUGUUCAAAGCAGGCCUUUGCCCGAAUACAUUAGCAUGGAAUAAUAAAAUAGGACGCGCGUUCCCAUUUUGUUGGUUUCUGAGAUCGCCGUAAUGAUUAAUAGGGAUAGUUGGGGGCAUUUGUAUUCCGUCGUCAGAGGUGAAAUUCUUGGAUUGCCGGAAGACAAACUACUGCGAAAGCAUUUGCCAAGGAUGUUUUCAUUGAUCAAGAACGAAGGAAGGGGGAUCGAAAACGAUUAGAUACCGUUGUAGUCUCUUCUGUAAACUAUGCCAAUUGGGGAUCGGUACAGGAUUUUUAAUGACUGUAUCGGCACCCGAAGAGAAAUCUUUAAAUGAGGUUCGGGGGGGAGUAUGGUCGCAAGGCUGAAACUUAAAGGAAUUGACGGAAGGGCACCACCAGGUGUGGAGCCUGCGGCUUAAUUUGACUCAACACGGGGAAACUCACCAGGUCCAGACACAAUAAGGAUUGACAGAUUGAUAGCUCUUUCUUGAUCUUGUGGUUGGUGGUGCAUGGCCGUUCUUAGUUGGUGGAGUGAUUUGUCUGGUUAAUUCCGAUAACGAACGAGACCUUAACCUGCUAAAUAGACCAGCCGGCUUUGGCUAGCUGCUGUCUUCUUAGAGGGACUAUCAGCGUUAGC
rnacentral:rRNA from 1 species